CAAUAGCGUAUAUUAAAGUUGUUGCGGUUAAAAAGCUCGUAGUUGGAUUUCUGCUGAGGACGAUCGGUCCGCCCUCUGGGUGAGCAUUGACUCGGCCUUGGCAUCUUCUUGGAGAACGCUACUGCACUUGACUGUGUGGUGCGGUAUCCAGGUACUUUUACUUGAGGAAAUUAGAGUGUUUCAAGCAGGCGCACCGCCUUGAAUACAUUAGCAUGGAAUAAUAGGAUAGGACCUUGGUUCUAUUUUGUUGGUUUCUAGAGCUGAGGUAAUGAUUAAUAGGGAUAGGUUGGGGGCAUUAGUAUUUAAUUGUCAGAGGUGAAAUUCUGGAUUUAUUAAAGACUAACUUAUGCGAAAGCAUUUGCCAAGGAUGUUUUCAUUAAUCAAGAACGAAAGUUAGGGGAUCAAAGACGUUCAGAUACCAU
rnacentral:rRNA from 1 species